GACGAACGCUGGCGGCGUGCCUAAUACAUGCAAGUAGAACGCAGUUGCGAACGGGUGAGUAACGCGUAGGUAACUGCCUGGUAGCGGGGGAUAACUAUUGGAAACGAUAGCUAAUACCGCAUACUACCAGAUGGACCUGCGUUGUAUUAGCUAGUUGGUGGGGUAACGGCUCACCAAGGCAACGAUACAUAGCCGAACUGAGAGGGUGAUCGGCCCCAUUUGGACUGAGACACGGCCCAGACUCCUGCGGGAGGCAGCAGGAGGGCAUCUUGGGGAAUGGACGGAAGGGUGACCGAGCAACGCCGCGUGAGUGAAGAAGGUCUUCGGAUCGUAAAGCUCUGUGCGAGGAGAAGCGGUACCUUACCAGAAAGGGACGGCUAACUACGUGACAGCAGCCGCGGUAAUAC
rnacentral:rRNA from 1 species